rnacentral:rRNA from 1 species
GACGAACGCUGGCGGCGUGCUUAACACAUGCAAGUCGAACGGAAAGGCCCUGCUUUUGUGGGGUGCUCGAGUGGCGAACGGGUGAGUAACACGUGAGUAACCUGCCCUUGACUUUGGGAUAACUUCAGGAAACUGGGGCUAAUACCGGAUAGGAGCUCCUGCUGCAUGGUGGGGGUUGGAAAGUUUCGGCGGUUGGGGAUGGACUCGCGGCUUAUCAGCUUGUUGGUGGGGUAGUGGCUUACCAAGGCUUUGACGGGUAGCCGGCCUGAGAGGGUGACCGGCCACAUUAGGACUGAGAUACGGCCCAGACUCCUACGGGAGGCAGCAGUGGGGAAUAUUGCACAAUGGGCGGAAGCCUGAUGCAGCAACGCCGCGUGCGGGAUGACGGCCUUCGGGUUGGAAACCGCUUUCGCCUGUGACGAAGCGUGAGUGACGGUAAUGGGUAAAGAAGCACCGGCUAACUACGUG